rnacentral:tRNA from 1 species
GGGGUUGUGGCUCAGAGGUAGAGCACUUGCCUAGCAUGCAUGAGGCACUGGGUUCAAUCCUCAGCACUACA